GCGGAAGGUCAUUAUCGAAUAAACUUGAACAGGCUGUUGCUGGACCUCCCCUUGUGGGGUGGUUAUGUGCACGCUUGUCUCAUCUUUUAUCAUUUCUCCAACUGUGCACAUUUUGUAGACCCCUGGGGCCUUUGGAAUUUUUGGAAUUCCGAGUUGGGACUGCUGUGCUUUAUUCAAAGCCGGCUUUGCCUUGCAUCUCCAGGUCUAUGUCACUUUUCACAACCUCUCAAAUGUGUUUAGAAUGUUGAAAUCAGGUCUUAUGUACCUAGAAUUGAAAUAUACAACUUUCAGCAACGGAUCUCUUGGCUCUCGCAUCGAUGAAGAACGCAGCGAAAUGCGAUAAGUAAUGUGAAUUGCAGAAUUCAGUGAAUCAUCGAAUCUUUGAACGCAUCUUGCGCCCCUUGGUAUUCCGAGGGGCAUGCCUGUUUGAGUGUCAUUUAACUUCUCAACUGCACCAUUGUGUGUGGCUUGGAUGUGGGGGUUGUUUUUGCAGGCUUUUAUAUGAAAGUCGGCUCCCCUGAAAUGUAUUAGUGGUAUCUGAGCUGCUGCUAUUGGUGUGAUAAUUAUCUACGCCUCUGGUGCACUUGCAUGAACAGAUUGUACCGCUCCUAACGAGCAUUUGACAAAUUUGACCUCAAAUCAGGUAGGACUACCCGCUGAACUUAAG
rnacentral:rRNA from 1 species